UCCGGUUGAUCCUGCCGGACCUGACUGCUAUCGGAUUGAUACUAAGCCAUGCGAGUCAUUGUAGCAAUACAAGGCAGACGGCUCAGUAACGCGUAGUCAACCUACCCUAUGGACGGGAAUAACCUCGGGAAACUGAGAAUAAUGCCCGAUAGAACACUAUACCUGGAAUGGUUUGUGUUCCAAAUGAUUUAUCGCCGUAGGAUGGGACUGCGGCCUAUCAGUUUGUUGGUGAGGUAAUGGCCCACCAAGACUAUUACAGGUACGGGCUCUGAGAGGAGUGGCCCGGAGAUGGGUACUGAGACACGGACCCAGGCCCUAUGGGGCGCAGCAGGCGAGAAAACUUUGCAAUGUGCGAAAGCACGACAAGGUUAAUCCGAGUGGUUUCUGCUAAAGGAACCUUUUGACAGUCCUAAAAACACUGUUGAAUAAGGGGUGGGCAAGUUCUGGUGUCAGCCGCCGCGGUAAAACCAGCACCUCAAGUGGUCAGGAUGAUUAUUGGGCCUAAAGCAUCCGUAGCCGGCUCUGUAAGUUUUCGGUUAAAUCUGUACGCUCAACGUACAGGCUGCUGGGAAUACUGCAGAGCUAGGGAGUGGGAGAGGUAGACGGUACUCGGGAGGAAGUGGUAAAAUGCUUUGAUCUCUCGAUGACCACCUGUGGCGAAGGCGGUCUACCAGAACACGUCCGACGGUGAGGGAUGAAAGCUGGGGGAGCAAACCGGAUUAGAUACCCGGGUAGUCCCAGCCGUAAACUAUGCAAACUCAGUGAUGCAUUGGCUUGUGGCCAAUGCAGUGUUGCAGGGAAGCCGUUAAGUUUGCCGCCUGGGAAGUACGUACGCAAGUAUGAAACUUAAAGGAAUUGGCGGGGGAGCACCACAAGGGGUGAAGCCUGCGGUUCAAUUGGAGUCAACGCCGGGA
rnacentral:rRNA from 1 species